rnacentral:lncRNA from 1 species
AUUUAUUUAAUAAUGCAAAUAAAGUAUUUAAAGAAUUUCAGAAUUAGCAAACACCAUAGAAAAACUAAUUAACUGUUUUUAGAUGUAAAAACUUUAUUAGGUUAGCAUCACGUGAGAGCUUUGGAGCUCCUUCAAAUAUUAAUAUGCUUUACAGUUAACGUUUGAAUCCAGCUUUAUUAGGAGCCAAAAGAACUGUCUUUCCUGCUAAGGAGGUAGCUGUAUCACCUGGCUAGCCUUUUUCAGUGGCUUCCUAAGUGUUUACCAUUCAAGCUAAGAAAAACUGUACAGUAUCAUGACCAUCACAUAAGGUUAAGAAAACACUAAAGUGCAUACAAAUGCACAAAUAAUAAUAAGACUAGGAAGGUUUCAUUAAAGAACGGAAAUAAUUAAGUAUGUGUAUUAACAUCAGUGGGCCUCUCACGAAAGAACAUGCCAUGGUAACAUUUAAGCAGAACACCUGUCCUGGAGCAGAACAGGAUUCACAGGGCUGUUUGUGAUGUGUUUGGCUCCUUCCAGUAGUUAAACAUGGAAGGGAAAACCCAGGAUUCUGGUGACUCACAUCAGCCCAGUACAUCCACACUCCAGAACCAAGCCCAUAAAAACCUGACCACCAGAUGCUGGCACUGUGCACUCUGACUGGUUUAGCAAGCUUAUUUCAACCAACCAUAUGUAACAGUUUUCUGCAGUAUCCUACUGAACAGUUAUUUCCACUGUACAAAGUGGUUUAUCCAUAAUUUGUGACAGGUAAUUCAGAAGGUGUAAGAAUAUAGAGCAGAAUAUUAAAGACUUCAUCUCUCCAUGAAGAAAGAGAAAGCUGGCUUCACUGCAGAGGAUCCACUCUCCCUGCACAGCACUACUGCAACCCAAGAUGCCUUAGUGCUGCUGCUUUGUGCCUGCUUCCCUACCAUGUGGUGUUUGUUACACAACCUGCUGAGAGACCAGUCAGCCAGACAGGACCAGCAGAAAAAUGGGAUCUUCAUGAAUAAACAUUUGCUUAAAAAUAAAAUUUUAUCAUUUUAUCGCGGUUGCUCCACAUCUGUAAACUGAACUAGAACUAAGUGAAACCUACUGCAGCGCUUUAGAUUCCAUGGCACGGAGGUUUUUGCAAGACAAGAAUCUGC